GAUGAAGAACGUAGCGAAAUGCGAUAAGUAAUGUGAAUUGCAGAAUUCAGUGAAUCAUCGAAUCUUUGAACGCACCUUGCGCCCUUUGGACAUUCCGAAGGGCAUGCCUGUUUGAGUAUCAUGAACACCACAACUCUCACGGCUUGUCCGUGAUGAGCUUGGACUUUGGGGGUCUUGCCGGCCUGUGGUCGGCUCCUCUCAAAUGGAUCAGCUUGCCAGUGUUUGGUGGCAUCACAGGUGUGAUAACUAUCUGCGCUUGUGGUUUUCCAUCAGAUAACCUUCAGUGAUAUGGAGGUUCGCUGGAGCUCACAAAUGUCUCUCCUUAGUGAGGACAGCUCUUUGAACGUUUGAUCUCAAAUCAGGUAGGACUACCCGCUGAACUUAAGCAUAUCAAUAAGCGAGGA
rnacentral:misc_RNA from 1 species